UGAGUACGAGAUGCUACGGCAUCGAAGCAGUCUAUGUCAUACUUCCAAGAAAAGCUUGCAAUGUCAUAAACAAAUAAUGCCUGUACCAUAACCGACACAGGUGGGUAGGUAGAGUAUACUAAGGGGCGCGAGAUAACUCUCUCUAAGGAACUCGGCAAAAUGACUCCGUAACUUCGGGAGAAGGAGUGCCUUAUUUUUAUAUGGUUGCAAUAACAAGAUCCAAGCAACUGUUUACCAAAAACACAGGUCUCCGCUAAGCCGUAAGACGAUGUAUGGGGGCUGACGCCUGCCCAGUGCCAGAAGGUUAAAGAAGUUGGUUAGCAUUAGCGAAGCUGAUAACUGAAGCCCUGGUGAACGGCGGCCGUAACAAUAACGGUCCUAAGGUAGCGAAAUUCCUUGUCGGGUAAGUUCCGACCCGCACGAAAGGCGUAAUGAUUUGGAUACUGUCUCGGAGAGGGGCUCGGUGAAAUAGACUUGUCUGUGAAGAUGCGGACUACCUGCACCUGGACAGAAAGACCCUAUGAAGCUUUACUGUAACUUGAGAUUGAAAUUGGACUUUAUCUGCGCAGUAUAGGUGGGAGACGUUGAAAAUAUUCUUGCGGGAAUAUUGGAGUCAUCAGUGAGAUACCACUCUUAUAAUGUUAGAUUUCUAACUUUGUAUCAUUAUCUGGUCAAAGAACAGUUUCAGGCGGGCAGUUUGACUGGGGCGGUCGCCUCCCAAACGGUAACGGAGGCGCACAAAGGUUUCCUCUGAACGUGUAGAAAUCGUAUCUAGAGUGUAAAGGCAUAAGGAAGCUUGACUGUGAGACCUACAAGUCGAGCAGGGACGAAAGUCGGUCUUAGUGAUCUGACGGUGCUGAGUGGAAAGGCCGUCACUCAACGGAUAAAAGUUACUCUAAGGAUAACAGGCUGAUCUCCCCCAAGAGUUCACAUCGACGGGGAGGUUUGGCACCUCGAUGUCGGCUCAUCGCAUCCUGGGGCGGUAGUACGUCCCAAGGGUUGGGCUGUUCGCCCAUGAAAGCGGUACGCGAGCUGGGUUCAGAACGUCGUGAGACAGUUCGGUCCAUAUCCGGUGUAGGCGUUAGAAUAUUGAGAGGAGCCUUCUUUAGUACGAGAGGACCGAGAAGGACAUACCUCUGGUGUACCAGUUAUCGUGCCAACGGUAAACGCUGGGUAGCCAUGUAUGGAGAGGAUAACCGCUGAAAGCAUCUAAGUGGGAAGCCCACCUCAAGAUAAGUAUUCUCA
rnacentral:rRNA from 1 species